CACACCCGUUCCCAUACCGAACACGGAAGUUAAGCUCUCUAGCGCCGAUGGUAGUUGGGACCUUGUCCCUGUGAGAGUAGGACGUUGCCAGGCA
rnacentral:rRNA from 18 species